CCGCCUUCAGGCGUUUGGACUCAGUGGAGGUUGUGAGUGCCCAGCAGUGUGGCCUGAAUCUCCGUGGGGUUUAGGGAGACGAAAGGACCCCAGAUCGACGUCCCCUCGUUCCCACUUUGGGGAUCGGCGCUCUGGCUGUUUCGUGAAGGAGAGAGAGGUGGGUCUGAACUCAGAGUGGUUUUCCAGAUGGGAAUCACAUUGCUCUCUGUCCCUGAGAUCUUGCUGGAGACAGGGCUACUCAGUCCCUCUUUGCCAGGUAAUCUGUUCCAGAAGAAACAUGUGUCGUUCUGACUGAGCCCCUGCCUGUCUGUCACCUUAAGAGCCAGUCAAUUCAUAUGGUCCCCAUAUCAAAGUCUCCUGUGCCCAGAGAGAGGAUUUCAUUUCAACCAUCACCAUCACCACCAUCAUCAUCAUCACCAAGAGAUGUUGUUGAAUUGAUACUGGAAAAGCAGUUUCUAUUGAGCCCCCAAAUGAAGAGUGAGUGCAGAUGAAGAGGAGGCAGGACUCACAAGCCCUUGAACUUUAUUCCAGAUCUGUUAGCACCUACAGGACCCUGCACCAGGAUUUCAUCUGUACUAUCAGCUUCUUCAAAGAGAGAGAGGUUGUUGAGUAAUAUUUUCAGUCCAAGAUUGGUUGCAUUCAUGUAUGCAGAAUCCACAGAUACAAAAGGUCAACUGUACUUAUUUAUUUAAUUCUCACCACAACCUAUGAGAAGGAUCUAUUGUUGCCUGACUUUAGAAAAAAGGAAACUGAGGUACAGUGAAGACAGAGUUAGCAAGUGCCAAGGCUUAGAUGUGAACACAGGCUGUGUGGCUCCUGAGUAAAUUCAUCUAUCCAGUGUGUGCUGCUGCCUCUCAAAUGAUGAGAAAAAUCUUGCUUUUUCAGGCCGGGCACAGUGGCUCACGCCUGUAAUCCCAGUUACAGGGAUCACCUCGUGAUCUCAGUGAUAGAUAACACCAGGUAUUGAUAUUGGAAAAGCAGUUUCCCAUUGAGUCUCAAAUGAAGAGAGUGCAGAUGAAGAGGAGGUCUCUUCAUGUGGAUGUCUGAGCUCAUAUCAGGUGUCUGAAAGAGGCAGAUUCUGAGGAUUUGGGUCAUGAUGGCUGCCAAAGCUUCUACUCCUGACUUAAAGGGCAACAAUCCUAGGAGACCACCAGCACUUACAUCCCUGGUAGGACAUGACACCUGCUUAUGGGCUCAGAAGUGACAAAAGAGAAUUAUCAGGAUGGCAGUCCUUAUAACCAGAUGCUUAUCAACAUUCUUCACUACAUUCUGAAGAUGAAUUUCUACAAGGGAAAUUGUUUAUGUAUUUGUUGUUGGGGAUAGAUAAGGAAAGAAGAAAAAGGCUCUGGUGAGAAACCCAUUGUACCUUCUGGAUAUGAUCACUACCCAAUUUUAUCAGUGUCAUUGAUCACUAACCCAGUGCCUCGUAUGGUGCCAGGCACAGAGUUACUCCAAGAAUGUACAAUAAUGGCUGGAUUCUCUUUCUCCCUGUGCAACUCUUCAUGCAUGUGACUGAACUUAUAUUAAGUGUCUGAAGGAGGUUCGUUCUGAGGAUCUGGGACAUGAUGGGUGCUGAAGCUUCUACUCAAGAUUUGAAGGGCAGCUGUCCUCAGGAGACCCCUGGCACUUCCCUCCAUGGUGGGAUGUGAUGCCUGAUUCCAGUGAGUUCAUAGAGCUGAACAAAAGUACGUUGUGGAAUAGCUCCUGUGAGGUUCACAACAUAGUCCGGAAGAUGAGAAACUACUUUUUUUAGUAACCUGGAUUCCCAUCUAAGAGAUGCCUUACUUUAUCGUAAAGCAAUGAGUUGUUCACUUGAGGAGGGAACUUCAUGUUUAACAUGUAUUUGCAACAAAUUUACAUACAUUUUCUGCCUGUAUGAAUAGUUGUCAGUGAUGCCCAUGAAUUUCUCAGAUGGAUGUUGAAGUAUACAGUUAGAAGGGAGGCAGCAGAUGGCUGAAAUUCUGAUCCGAUGUGGCUGGUUAAUGCAUGAUCUGAAAACCCCUGCACUGGUGAUUUUGGGACAGAUCUAGAAUAUACCAAUAAAUAUAUUAACAUACCAAGUAGUCUAGGAGCAGCCACUGGGCGAACACCAAACCUUGCAUCCCUGCUGCUGUCUCUGAGCUCAGCAGACACGUCUUUGCAGAAGAGUUCUAUAAUGGUGGUACAAUGGUGCCCCCUCGUGACAGAAGCUUGAACUACAGCUUGAACAUCGGUAGAUGAAAAUAUACUGUCUACGUUGUUCAACACAAUAGCUAAUGGCAACUGUGGCAGUUGAACACCCGAAACGUGAUGAAUGUGACUGAGGAACUGAACUUUUAGUUUCAUUGUGACAUGAUGAAUGAAUUUAUUGAGCCCCAGGAAGAAGGAAAAUUAAAGAAGAGCAAAGAAUAAUAGCUGGACAGAAGAUGGGGGUCAUUGAACCUAUAUCCUAGUUGCCAGACCAGUAAACUGACCAUGGGACCUGGGGUGGAGGCAGCAGAUGACCGAAAACCUGGAGUGAUGUGGCUGAAUACCGCAUGAUCUGAAGACUGCACUGGUGGCUGCGGUAUAAAUGCAUGGGGGCAAGAUGGCAGAUAGGAGGCAGGACCAGCUUGCAGCUCCUGCUGAGAUGGACAGAGCAGCAUGUGGAGACUCGUACUGUAAACCUUUGCUCCAAGAAGUACUGCAGGAACAUACCAGGAAAGCUGAGAGAAUCCACAGACCCUUUGAAGAAACUGGAUCACUGUUGCAGGCCCCCUGAGAUGCCGAAAAACUGUGAGUCUGCUUGCUUUGUCAGUGGGGAAGCUGGUGGUCUGGGACAAGUUCUCAGCCCUGGUCACUGGUUGCCCUGAAAUAGACUCGGUGCUGUUGUAGGGCACAGUGGGAAUGACACCAGCCUUUAGGGCUGCAGGCUGCAUGGGAGCAGGGUGAGGCCCAUGACCGCUGACUUUCCCCCACUUGCUGGCAAACUGUAUGGUUCAGCAGAAGCAGCCAUAAUCCCCCUGGGAAUAUAACUCCAUUGGACCAGACACCACACCCCCAUCCCCCACAGCAGUCACAGCAAGCCACACCCAAGGAGAGGCUGAGCUCAGCCAUGCCUAUCCCUGCCCCUACCGGGUGGUCUUUCUCUACACACCCUGGUAGACAAAGACCAAGGUCAUAAUCUCUUGGGAGUUCUAUGGCCCUGCCCACCGCCUGAGAAAUCUGAAUACUUAACCAGCUGUCCCUAGGGAAAGUUGGCAUCCUCUCUGCAGGACCACAACUGAUGCACUCUUGAAAUCACCACCUCCUAGCUGGAGGCCAACCAACACAAAACUAGCACACUAAACCAAAAUACAACCAAGGACCCUUACAGAGUCCACUUCACUCCCCUGCUACCUCCACUGGCUGCAAAACCUGAAGAUGGAUCACAUCACAGGACUCUUUGCAGACACUCCCCAGUACCAGCCCGGAGCCCAGUAGCUCCACUGGGUGGCUAGACCCAGAAGAGCAAAAACAAUCAUGACACUUUGGCCCUCAGGAAGCCGCAUUUAUAGGGGAAGGGGGAGAACACCACAUCAAGGGAGCACCCCAUGGGACAAAAGAAUCUGAACAGCAGCUCUUGAAUUCCAGAUCUUCCCUCUGACAUAGUCUACCCAAAUGAGAAAGAGCGAGAAAAAAAUUUCUGCUAAUACGACAAAACAAGUUUCUUUAACACCCCCGAAACAUUGCACUAGCUCACCAGCAAUGGAUCCAAACUAAGAUGAAAUCUUGGAAUAGCCAGAAAAAGAAUUCAGAAGGUUGAUUAUUAAGCUAAUAAAAGAGGCAGCAGAGAAAGAUGAAGUCCAACUUAAAUAAAUCAAAAACGUGAUGCAGGAUAUGAAAGGAAAAUUAUUCAGUGAAACAGCAUAAAUUAAAAAAAAAACAAUUACAAUUUCGAGAAAUCGGGGAACAUAUAGAGAAAUGCAAAACGCACUGGAAAGUCUCAGCAAUCAAUCGAACAAGCAGAAGAAAGAACUUCAGAGCUCAAAGACAGGCUUUCAAAUUAACCCAAUCCAUCAAAGACAAAGAAAAAAGAAUUUUAGGCUGGGUGUGGUGGCUC
rnacentral:lncRNA from 1 species